rnacentral:tRNA from 1 species
GUAGUUGUGGCCAAGUGGUUAAGGCGAUGGACUUGAAAUCUAUUGGAGUAUCCCUGCUCAGGUUGGAAUCAUGCUGACUACG